UCUAUACAUCUGCUCCAGAAACUGGGAAACCAUUGGGCUAUCACAUCCCAGAAGGUGGCCCUCGAUAUUCUUGGGGGUUCCAUUCUGCCCUACAACUGCAGAUAAUGAAACCACGGAAAACGGGUUUGAAAGCAGCUAUUGAGAAGACAGGCUCAGACCAAGGGAGGCAGCAAACAAUUGUUUUCUUUCCUAAAGAAGCAAGCAAGCAAGCAAGCAAAACAAACAAACAAGAAAACAAGGAGGAAAGGACAAGGGCCAGCGAGACCCUAACUGACUGACGAACUGGGCCAAUUUGAGGUGAUGAGAACUGUCUUGAAAACUCAAAAUUAACAAAUCGCCAGGACCAGAUGGCAUCCACCCAAGAGUUCUGAAGGAACUAAAAUGUGAAAUUGCUGAUCUACUAGCAUAAAUAUGUAACGUCUCUACAAUCAGGCUUUAUACCAGAGGACUGGAAAGGAGCUAAUGUAACUCCAAUAUUCAAAAAGGGAUUCAGGGGGGAUCUGGGAAACUACAGGCCAGUUAGCUUAAUUUCUGUGCUGAGUAAAUGGAUGGAAAGCCUACUUAAGGACAACAUUGUUAAACAUACAGAAGAACAGGCCUUGCAGAAGGAGAACCAGCAUGGCUUCUGCAGCGGCAAGUCUUACCUCACUAAGCUUUUGGAGUUCUUUGAGAGUGUCAACAGGCGUGUCGAUAAAAGUGGUCCAGUUGACAUGGACUUCCAAAAGGCUUUUGUACAAAGUUCCCCACCAAAAGCUCUUGAGUAAACGUAACAGUCAUGGGAUAGGGGGACAGGUUCCAUUGUCAAUUUGGUAAUUGGCUUAAGGACAGGAAACAACGGGUAGGAAUAAAUGGACAGUUCUCUACAUGGAGUGAAGUAAGAUGUGGGGUCCCCCAGGGCUCUGUACUGGGACCAGUGCUCUUUAACUUGUUCAUAAAUGAUCUAGAAGUUGGGGUAAUCAGCAAAGUGGCCAAAUUUGCAGAAGGCACUAAAUUAUUGAGCGUAGUGAAUUCCAAAACAGAUUGUGGGGAGUUCCAAAACGAUCUCUCCAAACUGGGGGAGUGGGCAACAAAAUGGCAAAUGCGGUUCAAUGUAAGCAAGUGUAAUGUAAUGCAUAUUGGGACAAAAACCCCAACUACACAUAUACACUGAUGGGGUCUGAGCUGUAACUGAGCUGUCACCCCAAGGAGAGAGAUCUUGGGGUUGUGGUACACAGCUUGUUGAAAGUUGUGACUCAGUGCAGCUGUGAAAAGCUAAAUUCCAUGCUAGGGAUCAUUAGGAAGGGGACUGAAAAUAAAUAUAUUAAUAUUAUAAUUCCCUUAUUCAAAACUAUGGUGCAGCCAUAUUUGGAGUACUGUGUAAUGUUCUGGUCACCGUAUCUUAAGGAGGACAUAGUAGAACUGAAAAAGGUGCAGAAGAGGGCAAACAAGAUGAUCAGGGGUCUGGAGCCCCUUCCUUAUGAGGCAAGGCUACAGCAUCUAGGACUUCUAAGUUUGGAAAAGAGGCAACUAUGGGGAGACAUGACAGAGGUGCAUAAAAUUAUGCAUGGAGUAGAGGGAGGGGACAGAUAAAUUUUUCUCCCUCUCUCAUAAUACUAGAACUGGGGUCAUCCCACUAAACUGAAGGGCAGGAAAUUUAGGACCAACAAAAUUGUCACACAACUAAUCUAUGGAAUUCUUUGCCAGGGGAUGUAAUGAUGGCCACUAACUUGGAUGGCAUUAAAAGGGACAAAUUCAUGGAGGAUAGGUCUAUCAAUGGCUACUAGUCUGGUGGUUAUGGGCCACCUCCAGCCUCAGAGCCAAGAUGCCUCUAAAUACCAGUUGCAGGGGAGCAGCAGCAAGAGAGGGCAUGCCCUCCUGCUGGUGGGCUUCUCAGAGGCAUCUGGUGGGCCUCUGUGUGAAACAGGAUGCUGAACGAGAUACGCCUUGGGCCUGAUCCAAUGGGGCUGUCCGUAUAUUCUUAUGAGAACUUGAGUCCAUGGGAACUGGGGGGUUAGGUUCCUAGAGCUUAAAAAGGGGCUUUAAAAGUGGGGAGGAGGCAGAAAUAAUAAUAAGAGAAAUAAAGUAGUGUACAAUGCUCUCCAAGUCUCCAGCUGUCCAGCAAUGUCCAAAAAUGUCCAGUUGUCCUAUCUCACAAACUUCCAAUUCCUCAGAAUAUCCAUGAAAAAUAAUAGUGGGGGAAAAGCCUUUUUGAAGAAAGAGCCACAAAAUGGCUCCCUGGUGCAAAAUGGUGGCCGGAAAUUUAUUUAUUUAUUUAUUGUUAAAUUUAUAUACCGCCUUUCAUUAACAUAAUCACAAGGCGGUUAACAUAGAAAAAGUUGAACCCUGUAUAAUGAGGUUGGGUCUAUAUAGCCUGACCAUGGAUAUGUGAAAUCACGGGUGCCGGGACAGUGGAUAACGAGGGCCAUCUGUAUAAUAUAUAAUUAUAUCUCAAAAGAAACUGAAGAAGCAGAAAUUAAAAUAUAAUUAAUGACCAUAUACGGUACAUUUGAAUCAUAGUAAAUUUGAAUCUGAGAAAGAUCUGCUUUUCUUGGGCAUUAUGUUGUUUUGGAAUUAUUUAUCUGAUUAUUUAGUUUUUAAAAUCUUUUUAGAACAAUAACAGAUAAAACAUGAUGAUUAAUGCAGAAUUUCUGCUAAAAAUACAAAAUGAAUUACUUAAACAUGCCCCCAAGCAUAUCCUGGUGUAAAAAGUAGUGCAUUCAGCUAAUUUAAGUGGCAGGAUUGUUCAUGCAAAAUGUGGUAUCUGUAGGUAAUUGGGAAGUAUGAUAUUAAUAAUUUACUAAAAAACCCUGCCAAAAUAAUUAUUUAAAGUUUCACCAAGCAUAUUCUGUAAAACAUAGUAUAUUUAGCUAAUUUUAGUAGCAGGAUUGUGUAUGUGAAAUUUUGUAUCUUAUCAGGAAGUAUGACUUUAUUUCGCAAAAACAAACCAAUGCUUCAAAAUAUAUAAUAGCUUAUUUGGGCCUA